AUUGAACGCUGGAUGCAGGCCUAACACAUGCAAGUCGAGCGGAGCGGCGGACGGGUGAGUAAUGCCUAGGCAUCUGCCUGGUAGUGGGGGAUAACGUCCGGAAACGGGCGCUAAUACCGCAUACUAUCAGAUGAGCCUUGGUCGGAUUAGCUAGUGGGUGGGGUAACGGCCUACCAAGGCGACGAUCCGUAACUGGUCUGAGAGGAGGACCAGCCACACUGGAACUGAGACACGGUCCAGACUCCUACGGGAGGCAGCAGUGGGGAAGAUUGCACAAUAGGCGCAAGACUGAUGCAGCCAUGCCGCGUGUAGGAAGAAGGCAUUCGGGUUGUAAAGUACUUUCAGCGGGGAGGCGUUACCCGCAGAAGAAGCACCGGCUAACUCCGUGCCAGCCGCCGCGGUAAUUC
rnacentral:rRNA from 1 species